rnacentral:siRNA from 1 species
AAGCAACUGUCGAUACUGUGGCAC